UGAGGACCGUCUGGGCAGCACUGCUAGAGCCUGCAGAGAAAGCUUCCAGACCCUUUACUUUUUUAAGGAACAAUAUAGUCCAUGAAGGAAGACUUGUAACCUGGAGAAGAGACCUGUCAUUUACUCCAGUGUCCAUAGUGAUGCUACAGGACAGAGUGGAAUGGAUAAAAACAUUGGCGAGCAACUCAAUAAAGCUUAUGAAGCCUUUCGGCAGGCAUGCAUGGAUAGAGAUUCUGCAGUAAAAGAACUACAGCAAAAGACUGAGAACUAUGAGCAGAGAAUACGUGAGCAACAAGAACAGCUGUCACUUCAACAAACUAUUAUUGACAAGCUAAAAUCACAGUUACUUCUUGUGAAUUCUAGUCGAGAUAACAGUUAUGGUUGUGUUCCCCUGUUUGAAGACAGUGAAGCAAGGAAGAAUAAUUUGACUCUUGAUCAGCCACAUGAUAAAGUAAAAUCAGGAAUACCAAGAGAAAAGUCAAAGGUAAGAAGACAAGAGAUUUCCUCAAGAAAAGAAACUGUACCAGGGAGUCUUGGCAUUCCUUUAUUCCAUGAAAGGGGUUAUGUAGAGAAGACUUUCUGGGAUCUGAAAGAAGAAUUUCAUAGAAUACGCAUGCUAGCAAAAGCACAAAAAGACCACUUAAGCAAACUUAAUGUAGCAGACACUGCAGCUGAGACACAGUGCUCUGUGCCUGUACAGUGUACGGAUAAAACAGAUAAACAAGAAGUGCUGUUUAAGCCUCAGGCUAAAGAUGAUAUAAAUAGAGGUGCACCGUGCGUCACAUCUGUCACACCAAGAGGAUUGGGCCAAGAUGAGGAAGAUACCUCUUUUGAAUCACUUUCUAAAUUCAAUGUCAAGUUUCCACCUACAGACAGUGACUCUGCUUUCUUACACAGCACUCCAGAAAGACCCACUGUCCUUGGUCCUGCCACAUCUGAGGCUGUAUGCCAGGAUAAAUUUAAUAUGGAGCCCAGAGACAACCCGGGAAACUUUGUUAAAACAGAAAUUGAGGGGAUUGACUCCAUAGCUUCAGCUAUACAAAACCUUAAAACAACUGACAAAACAAAACCCUCAAAUCAUGUAAAUACUUGUAUCAGGACAGCUCCGGAUAGAGCUUUGUGUUUGUCACCUGGAGACCAUAAUGCAUUAUAUGUAAAUACAUUCCCACUUCAGGACCGGUCUGAUGCACCUUUUCCUUCACUCAAUUCCCCAGGAGAAGCUAUCCGAGGACCAGAGCAGCCCGUUUGGAAGCCCUUUCCUAAUCAAGACAGUGACUUAUCGGUACUAAGUGGCACAGGCUCAGAACUGCAUAUACCUCGAGUAUGUGAAUUCUGUCAAGCAGUUUUCCCACCAUCCAUUACAUCCAGGGGGGAUUUCCUCCGGCAUCUUAAUUCACACUUUAUUGUGGAGACUUAAGACGCAUUGGAAAACAGACAUAUCAAGUUCUGUGUGGUAAUUUGGGGUCUGUAAUACUAUAUACUUGAUUGCAAACUUAGCUCAAGAUCAUUUAUUGAAAAAUCCAGUGUCACAGUAUUUGGCUUUUUUCAUAAACUUAUAGUGUAACUUUCUUAUCACCUUUUAAAAGAUCAUUCUGUACAAAAACUGUAGUUCGUUGUCUUCAUGUUUACAGUGUUUAUUACCAUAAUUCCAAAUUAUAUGUGACUUACAGAAUUGCAUAAUAAUUUAUGUCUUUUUCAAAUAUCUAAGCUCAUUGCUUGGAUUUCUGGCUAGAUCUAUUGAAUUUGGUGAUGUCAAAUGUUUAUGGGUUUUCAUUUGUUUUCAUUUUAAAAUUUAGAUUAUUUAUGCUAUAGGUGUCCUUUUUGAAUAAACCCAUGAUUGUAGGGAAGAUAAACAUCUGAGUAAAUAUCAAACCCAAGACAUUUGUUGCUCAGUGAUAAAAGCACCGGUAGGAUUAUUUAAACACUUGAGUGCCUGGUUUUUUUUUAAUAAUAGACAUUGUUUUAAUUUUUACUAUUUGUAUAGCUACAUGAUGAAAUUAGUUAAAUAUUUAAAAAGUUACUUAUGUUGUGAUCAUUAAUGUGUUCUUUGUUCUUGGAUAAAAUAAAUCACAUUUUUGGGAAAUUUAUAAAAUUCAUGUGUUCUUUAACCUGAUGGACAGAUGAUACCAGAUCUGGUGACAUUUUAGUACAACUAGUAGGUCACUCUGAAUUUUAAAAUUAUUUUUCAAACUACGCUUGCUAAAGAAACGUGUGUCUUUAAUGGGAGCAAAUCUAAAACCCUGUAAGGACUAUCCAUAUUUAUUAAUUUAUAUUAAAAUGUUCACAUUCUUGUUGAGAAAUUGUUAAUUCCUUGUUUGCAUCAUGAUUGAUGACCAGUGGGAGACAUUUAAGAGAGAGAAUACAGAAUU
rnacentral:lncRNA from 9 species